GGUAAUUCCAGCUCCAAAAGCGUAUAUUAAAGUUGUUGCAGUUAAAAAGCUCGUAGUUGAACCUUGGGCUUGGCUGGCCGGUCCAUCUUUUUUGAUGCGUACUGGACCCAGCCGAGCCUUUCCUUCUGGCUAGCCUUUUUGGCGAACCAGGACUUUUACUUUGAAAAAAUUAGAGUGUUCAAAGCAGGCCUUUGCUCGAAUAUAUUAGCAUGGAAUAAUAGAAUAGGACGUUAUGGUUCUAUUUUGUUGGUUUCUAGGACCAUCGUAAUGAUUAAUAGGGACGGUCGGGGGUAUCAGUAUUCAGUAGUCAGAGGUGAAAUUCUUGGAUUUACUGAAGACUAACUACUGCGAAAGCAUUUACCAAGGACGUUUUCAUUAAUCAAGAACGAAAGUUAGGGGAUCGAAGAUGAUCAGAUACCGUCGUAGUCUUAAC
rnacentral:rRNA from 1 species